GGGCACGUGGCGGAAUUGGUAUACGCGUACGGCUCAGAACCGUAUCCCGUAAGGGUUGAGAGUUCGAGUCUCUCCGUGCCCA
rnacentral:tRNA from 1 species